CCAGGUUGCUGGGUUGUCUGUGAGCUGAGCUCGCUCCUAUUAUAGCCCCAUUUGUUUCGCUUUAACAAUCAUUCUUUAUUCCAGCCCUGUACUUGGCACCGUUUAGCUGCCUACUCCAAACUUCACCACCCUGCCUCCUGCUUAAAGCACUCAAAUUGCCCUAUUCUGCAAAUAUAUGGUGAAUGCGGUGGGGCCUCGCCGCACAUCAGUUGUCUGGGCUAUCAUUCUAUAAUCUACUACAUAUUAUUAUACACGACCACACGGCCAAAGAACAGACAGACUGCCUCAUUCAGAGAAAGAGUGUGAAAAAAACAAAGAAGGAAGUUAAAAAAAAAGUUGGGGUUUUAAAACUUUGUAAAGCGGUAUUCUUAGGACUGAGAGGAGGCGUGUCUAGCUGCACUUUACCUGUUUUGCAGAAUUCCUUCGUCUCUUUUAAAACGGCAUGCACCCGAGCUGAAUGGCAACACCCAGACCACGGACAGCAGAAAGAAGAGUGGGUGUGCAGAAGCUGGCCCCUGGCAGGGAGCAGUCUAGGGCUGCUUCUCCUUGGGUUGGUGGUGUGACGGUGUAACCAUCCCUCAGCACCUGGGGCUUGCCGGUGUUAAAAAUACGAGGGAGAUUCUGGCAAAGGGAAUCAAAGCAUUGAGGUGUUUAAUGAUCCGACCGCAGAUUAUGCAUUGUGAAGCUUUUCUUCAAGAGGAAAAGGGUUCUUCUCACCGCCCCAUGCACCAAACAUUAUAGGUCAUGAAAAGGUACAGAGACAGGGCCUAUGUAACAUGGACAGCAGCCUUAUAUUGGAGCAAAAAGGGUGAACGGGACAGCUGCCUCUAAACAGAGGCGAUGUAAGAUCCUGAGUCUUUAGAAUGAGUCUGGAGUGGACAGCAGCCGUAUGCCACGGGCACAUGUUGGGCCAGAGAACCUUAAGAGUGAGGGAUUGGAGGGCAGCCUCUAAUUGGAUGGAGUGUGAGACCACAGAGUCUGAGAGUGAGUGCUGGAGUGGACAGCAGCCCUGCUUUACGAGAGCUUGUGUUUAAUAAAAGCAAGCAUUGUAUGGUACUGACGGGGGAGGGGGAUCAGCAAUCAGAAAUGGAAAGUGAAUGCUGAACACAUCAACUACUUGGUGCAGCAACGUGUAAUGAGGGAGCCCAGCCCAAUCCCCCAAAGACACAGCCUUGAGGCCCCACAGCCUUCCUGCUCAUGUGCUCAUUAACAGCUGCCAAGUGCAGCCGAGCUGCCCCCUCAUUGGCCUGCUGUUGCUUUGCAUAGGGACCCUUAACUGUCUGCUUGACUCAAGUGCAACCUGUAUGCACAGGAGCAAAGUGAGCCUGAAUGAUCACAGCUAAAGAGGCCAAGUCAAAAUGAAUUAACCCUUUGAGCCGUCAAGGGCUCAUCCCUAAAGCAGGAGGGAGUUCAAAUUUGUAUCGGUUUUUAAUUUAUAACUGUGUGUGUGUGCAUCCUUGUUUAUGGUAUAGAGUAUUUUGCCAGAAAUGUAACAAAAUAAAAUGUGUAAGAGAGAUGGGUACAACAUUACAUAAAAUAAUACAGAAUCACCUGUCAAUCAUAAGAAAUAACAAAGUAAAUGAACCAAUACUGCAACACUUUAUGAAAAAUGAACACAAAUUCCCUACAAUUUGUAGUUUUAGAUUAAAUAAAAUUAGAUGAUGUACAAUACAGAGGGAUAAAGGAAAACACAUUGAUAAACAGACUCAAUACCAGGAUGCCUGAAGGUUUAAAUAGAAAGGAACAGUAGAUCGUUACAUUAUUAACUACAUAGAAACAUAGAAAAUGGACGAGGUGAACAAGACUCACUUUACUGUUGCUCAAGCUUGGAGUAUACCUUCACGUUAAAUGGUACAUCAGUAUACUGUCAUCACUAUACAGUCCCAGCCACAUGCAUUAUACACAAUAUUUAAGUAUAAAGUUUUAUGUGUCUGAUUGUUUAAAAACACAGGCAAUGGUCUGGCAAACUAAAAAUGUCCACACAUGUAAUUAUGUAUUUAUAAUUUGAAUAUGCGUAAAUGCUGUUAACUAAGUACUAAAAAGCAUAACAAGAGUUAAGUGGCAUUACUGCCCAACUCUCUAGAGAUCACACAGACUGCAUGAGGGGGUAAUACUGUGCAAUUCAGUUGAAAAUGACUGUAUACGUCACUGCAAUGCGCAGUAGCAAUUUUAUUUAGAAAACGCAUUCAAGCAGAGAUUGGUUGCUACUAGCUAUUUUUAGGUUUGUUUCUAAGAUAGUCCGCAGUGUAGUAUUAAUGCCAAUGGAGCACAUCGGGCAUGAGAAUCAUACAGUGUCAGCCUUGUGAGCCCACAGUCUGACUGCAAUAGAAUUAAUUUUACUUGACUCAUCUUCUUCAUCUGUUUGCCAGUGUUCUACAGGAAAGUAAUUUAAGGUUGCUCUCACAAAACUCAAAGCUGAACUGCAGCUCUCUUGGAAAUAGCAUUGCUACCUUCUUUUUUUUGUUUUAAGUAUGUGCAAUUAAAUUGUCGUUCUGUGUACUUGGAGCAGUGAAAAGUAGACACUGAGUAAUACUUUGUCAUAGAAUGUAAUACGUUUCUUUCUGUGAUUGCAUGCUGCUGUUGUCUUUCAGGGCCCCCUUGACAAUGAGAUGCACACCUGAAAGGAGUCUCUUCCUGGAUUAACAAUAAUCAACAUGGAAUAGCAAUAGCAAUACUAAUACAAAUGGUAAUUACAACUAAAGCAAUGCUACAGAGUAUUAAUAGCUUUGAAAGGCUUGGUGAGCCUGAUUGCGAUGGAGUGUGGAUCUCCAGAACUGCUUUUAUUGUUGAAGGAACUUCCGGAAACUUCCAAAGGCAUCUUCUGAAACGUUUGUCUGCUUGACUUGACAGUAUAUUCAGCAGGUCUGCAGGAGCUCAGGGACCGGAGCAUCUCACUGGACUCUGGUCACAGAGAAGGAGGGAGGAGGUCCGGCUUCAAAAACAUCUGCAUUCAUCUAAAGCUUGAGCACUGUUGAGUGCGGAUGAUUCAUCUGAAAGAGACCCUGUGCUGUGAUGUACAGCAAUGGAAAUCGGAUAAGAGAACGAUUUAGAAUGUGUCAGUCUUACUCUGUGUAGUGAUGUUACACCAUGCAUAACCCGUACUGCACGACGCCUCAUAGGAGUUCCUGAUGACAGUGUUUUUUUGGUGAUUUAUAAUCAGUUAACACGUCCUGUGCAGAGUCUGUUAUCAUAAUAGACCUAAUCUCUUUGGGCAAGAUGCCAUCUCUUACAACAGCACCAUAAACACACCACUUUUUAAACUUAUAAAUAAAACCAAGCCUGCUUUACUCACUCACAGCACUGAAAUGCACACAGUGGCACUAAUUUACAGAAUGUAUUAUUCAUUACAUUUAGAGUCAUAUGAAAGAGAAAUCGGAUCACAGCUGCUGAGCUGCUGUAAGUCCAGGGAGAGUAAAUGCAAACAGAAGGCUGCUGCUAGUUCCCAUUGUGUUUUCACUGCAUUGCAUGAGCGGGGCCUUCAUUCAGGUGCCAGCAGUACCGCUGUGGCACCAUCUUGUGGUCCUCUUGUCAUUCCAUUUGAUUUAUUCAUAUUCUAUCGUUCUGGGUUUCUUUGAUUUUUGCUUCACAUGUAGGCUAUGUGCUUGAGAGCUUGUGGCGGGUUCUUAUUUCAUCCUCAUUGAAUGAAAGCUUUGUUCUAAUGACCAUGACAGAUUCUACAAAUAGCACAAGAAUAAAGGCUGGCCACCUAGCUUACUGUAAAUGACCCAGCCUGAAAUCCCCUGAUCCAUUGAAUUAACUUAUUGCUCUGAUUCUCACUUUUGAUAGCUAUGUUAUUGUGUGUUGGUGGAGAGGCAGAGACAUUCACAAUGACACACUGAUUUGAUCAGAACGAAUCAUUGAAAAUGGAUCCUGCAAUAGUGAGUAAACACAAACGAGGUCACCACAAAUAGACUACCAACACAAAGGUGCACAUUAAUAGUAAUAGCUGGAUAGGUAUUACAUUGCAUUGGCUUUUUAGAUGAGUGUAAUGUUAUUAGAAGCCUGUGCUGCCUUUAAAGCAUGUUUGUUAGCCCAUAUUAUUAAAGGAAUCAAAAAUCUAUAUUUUUUAUUUGUAUUUCAUUUUACUAAUUGUGUAUUUGUUUGU